CGUAGGGGGCAAGCGUUAUCCGGAAUUAUUGGGCGUAAGGAGUGCGUAGGUGGUUUUGUAAGCGCGGGGUGAAAGGCUAUGGCUCAACCAUAGUAAGCCUUGCGAACUGCAAGACUUGAGUGCAGGAGAGGAAAGUGGAAUUCCUAGUGUAGCGGUGAAAUGCGUAGAUAUUAGGAGGAACACCAGUGGCGAAGGCGACUUUCUGGACUGUAACUGACACUGAGGCACGAAAGCGUGGGGAACAAACAGGAUUAGAUACCCUGGUAGUCCACGCCGUAAACGAUGAGCACUAGGUGUCGGGGUCGCAAGGCUUCGGUGCCGCAGUUAACGCAUUAAGUGCUCCGCCUGGGGAGUACGCACGCAAGUGUG
rnacentral:rRNA from 1 species